rnacentral:rRNA from 1 species
UGUGUUUCGACACACUAUCAUUAACUGAAUCCAUAGGUUAAUGAGGCGAACCGGGGGAACUGAAACAUCUAAGUACCCCGAGGAAAAGAAAUCAACCGAGAUUCCCCCAGUAGCGGCGAGCGAACGGGGAGCAGCCCAGAGCCUGAAUCAGUGUGUGUGUUAGUGGAAGCGUCUGGAAAGGCGCGCGAUACAGGGUGACAGCCCCGUACACAAAAAUGCACAUAUUGUGAGCUCGAUGAGUAGGGCGGGACACGUGGUAUCCUGUCUGAAUAUGGGGGGACCAUCCUCCAAGGCUAAAUACUCCUGACUGACCGAUAGUGAACCAGUACCGUGAGGGAAAGGCGAAAAGAACCCCGGCGAGGGGAGUGAAAAAGAACCUGAAACCGUGUACGUACAAGCAGUGGGAGCCUCUUUUAUGGGGUGACUGCGUACCUUUUGUAUAAUGGGUCAGCGACUUAUAUUCUGUAGCAAGGUUAACCGAAUAGGGGAGCCGAAGGGAAACCGAGUCUUAACUGGGCGUUAAGUUGCAGGGUAUAGACCCGAAACCCGGUGAUCUAGCCAUGGGCAGGUUGAAGGUUGGGUAACACUAACUGGAGGACCGAACCGACUAAUGUUGAAAAAUUAGCGGAUGACUUGUGGCUGGGGGUGAAAGGCCAAUCAAACCGGGAGAUAGCUGGUUCUCCCCGAAAGCUAUUUAGGUAGCGCCUCGUGAAUUCAUCUCCGGGGGUAGAGCACUGUUUCGGCAAGGGGGUCAUCCCGACUUACCAACCCGAUGCAAACUGCGAAUACCGGAGAAUGUUAUCACGGGAGACACACGGCGGGUGCUAACGUCCGUCGUGAAGAGGGAAACAACCCAGACCGCCAGCUAAGGUCCCAAAGUCAUGGUUAAGUGGGAAACGAUGUGGGAAGGCCCAGACAGCCAGGAUGUUGGCUUAGAAGCAGCCAUCAUUUAAAGAAAGCGUAAUAGCUCACUGGUCGAGUCGGCCUGCGCGGAAGAUGUAACGGGGCUAAACCAUGCACCGAAGCUGCGGCAGCGACACUAUGUGUUGUUGGGUAGGGGAGCGUUCUGUAAGCCUGUGAAGGUGUGCUGUGAGGCAUGCUGGAGGUAUCAGAAGUGCGAAUGCUGACAUAAGUAACGAUAAAGCGGGUGAAAAGCCCGCUCGCCGGAAGACCAAGGGUUCCUGUCCAACGUUAAUCGGGGCAGGGUGAGUCGACCCCUAAGGCGAGGCCGAAAGGCGUAGUCGAUGGGAAACAGGUUAAUAUUCCUGUACUUGGUGUUACUGCGAAGGGGGGACGGAGAAGGCUAUGUUGGCCGGGCGACGGUUGUCCCGGUUUAAGCGUGUAGGCUGGUUUUCCAGGCAAAUCCGGAAAAUCAAGGCUGAGGCGUGAUGACGAGGCACUACGGUGCUGAAGCAACAAAUGCCCUGCUUCCAGGAAAAGCCUCUAAGCAUCAGGUAACAUCAAAUCGUACCCCAAACCGACACAGGUGGUCAGGUAGAGAAUACCAAGGCGCUUGAGAGAACUCGGGUGAAGGAACUAGGCAAAAUGGUGCCGUAACUUCGGGAGAAGGCACGCUGAUAUGUAGGUGAAGCGACUUGCUCGUGGAGCUGAAAUCAGUCGAAGAUACCAGCUGGCUGCAACUGUUUAUUAAAAACACAGCACUGUGCAAACACGAAAGUGGACGUAUACGGUGUGACGCCUGCCCGGUGCCGGAAGGUUAAUUGAUGGGGUUAGCGCAAGCGAAGCUCUUGAUCGAAGCCCCGGUAAACGGCGGCCGUAACUAUAACGGUCCUAAGGUAGCGAAAUUCCUUGUCGGGUAAGUUCCGACCUGCACGAAUGGCGUAAUGAUGGCCAGGCUGUCUCCACCCGAGACUCAGUGAAAUUGAACUCGCUGUGAAGAUGCAGUGUACCCGCGGCAAGACGGAAAGACCCCGUGAACCUUUACUAUAGCUUGACACUGAACAUUGAGCCUUGAUGUGUAGGAUAGGUGGGAGGCUUUGAAGUGUGGACGCCAGUCUGCAUGGAGCCGACCUUGAAAUACCACCCUUUAAUGUUUGAUGUUCUAACGUUGACCCGUGAUCCGGGUUGCGGACAGUGUCUGGUGGGUAGUUUGACUGGGGCGGUCUCCUCCUAAAGAGUAACGGAGGAGCACGAAGGUUGGCUAAUCCUGGUCGGACAUCAGGAGGUUAGUGCAAUGGCAUAAGCCAGCUUGACUGCGAGCGUGACGGCGCGAGCAGGUGCGAAAGCAGGUCAUAGUGAUCCGGUGGUUCUGAAUGGAAGGGCCAUCGCUCAACGGAUAAAAGGUACUCCGGGGAUAACAGGCUGAUACCGCCCAAGAGUUCAUAUCGACGGCGGUGUUUGGCACCUCGAUGUCGGCUCAUCACAUCCUGGGGCUGAAGUAGGUCCCAAGGGUAUGGCUGUUCGCCAUUUAAAGUGGUACGCGAGCUGGGUUUAGAACGUCGUGAGACAGUUCGGUCCCUAUCUGCCGUGGGCGCUGGAGAACUGAGGGGGGCUGCUCCUAGUACGAGAGGACCGGAGUGGACGCAUCACUGGUGUUCGGGUUGUCAUGCCAAUGGCACUGCCCGGUAGCUAAAUGCGGAAGAGAUAAGUGCUGAAAGCAUCUAAGCACGAAACUUGCCCCGAGAUGAGUUCUCCCUGACCCUUUAAGGGUCCUGAAGGAACGUUGAAGACGACGACGUUGAUAGGCCGGGUGUGUAAGCGCAGCGAUGCGUUGAGCUAACCGGUACUAAUGAACCGUGAGG